ensembl:lncRNA
GCUACCUGGGUCUCCUCUGUGAGCUCCCUACCUGCCGACCUGAGGAAGUGGAACGUUAGCUUGACCACGGAGGGAGGGGCGUAAUGUUUCAAGGAAGAAGGAGAGCAAGCAGAUGAGGAGAAUCCGGUACCCGAAGAGUAUCGGUACUGACAUGAGGAAACAUUGCAGCCAAUUAAGAUGCUAUAUAGAAGUUUUUGAUAACAUGCGGAAAUGUAUCCAAUGCUGUGCUUGGACUUAGUUGUGGCGUGUGGGGUCUUCAGCUGUGGCAUGCAGGAUCUAGUUCCCUGACCAGGGAUGGAAAACUGUGCUCGCUGCAUUGGGAACAUGGAGUCUUAGUCAUUGGACCACCAGGGAAGUCCCUGUUUGUAAAUUUUUUGAAAUUAAGACCUUGUCAGUCACAUAAUUUAAAAAUAUUUUCUCCUAGUUGUCUUUUCAUUUUAUGGUUUCCUUUGCUGUGUGAAAACAUGUAAGCUUGAUUAGGUCC